rnacentral:rRNA from 1 species
AGAUUGAACGCUGGCGGCAGGCCUAACACAUGCAAGUCGAGCGGCAGCACGGGUACUUGUACCUGGUGGCGAGCGGCGGACGGGUGAGUAAUGCCUAGGAAUCUGCCUGGUAGUGGGGGAUAACGCUCGGAAACGGACGCUAAUACCGCAUACGUCCUACGGGAGAAAGCAGGGGACCUUCGGGCCUUGCGCUAUCAGAUGAGCCUAGGUCGGAUUAGCUAGUUGGUGAGGUAAUGGCUCACCAAGGCGACGAUCCAUAACUGGUCUGAGAGGAUGAUCAGUCACACUGGAACUGAGACACGGUCCAGACUCCUACGGGAGGCAGCAGUGGGGAAUAUUGGACAAUGGGCGAAAGCCUGAUCCAGCCAUGCCGCGUGUGUGAAGAAGGUCUUCGGAUUGUAAAGCACUUUAAGUUGGAGGAAGGCAGUUACCUAAUACGUAUCUGUUUGACGUUACGACAGAAUAAGCACCGG